rnacentral:rRNA from 1 species
GACGUAGGGCGCGAGCGUUGUCCGGAUUUAUUGGGCGUAAAGAGCUCGUAGGCGGCUUGUUGCGUCGACUGUGAAAACCCGCGGCUUAACUGCGGGCUUGCAGUUGAUACUGGCAGGCUAGAGUUCGGUAGGGGAGACUGGAAUUCCUGGUGUAGCGGUGAAAUGCGCAGAUAUCAGGAGGAACACCGGUGGCGAAGGCGGGUCUCUGGGCCGAUACUGACGCUGAGGAGCGAAAGCGUGGGGAGCGAACAGG